GGAUGCGAUCAUACCAGCAGUAAAGCAUCGGAUCCCAUCAGAACUCUGAAGUUAAACGUGCUUGGGUGAGAGUAGUACUAGGAUGGGUGACCUCCUGGGAAGUCCUCGUGUUGCAAUCC
rnacentral:rRNA from 3 species